CAGAACCAAUUUCACUCUUCUUAAUUUAAGCAGCAGAGGAUUUCACUCUUCUUAAUCUUGAUACAAAAUCGUUGUCAUUAGGAGCUGAUAUUCCAAUUGAUUUCUUCAUCUGCUACUCGGAAAGAUCAAACGUUACACCGUUUGCUACGAAUUCCACUGUUUCAACAUCUCUCACAUGAGAACUGUGAAUAGAAGAUUUCAUCACCAAUCGUCUAUAACCUCAAAUCCAAACGAUUCUUCUUAUGGAUAUGAGGUAAAGUCUUCGAUGGCCACCAUAAUCCCUUGUUUAUUCUUUGCAUUCUCUCAAGCAUCAGACUUCAAGAAAGGUCAUGGCAAUGGUUUGUGCAAGUUCCAGGGAGUUGGAUUUGUAGAAAUUAACAGCAUUAUCGCUUUGGGGUGGACAAUUUUGGAGUAAAUUUAAGGAAUUGGUUUCUUCUUUGAGCGACUUUGGGUUGAUCUAUUUCCUGAGUAGUUUGUGAGAUUGGUUUUGUCGUCAAGGAGAUUUUUGGUGGUGCUUUGCAGAGCCAGAUCAAGUGUUUGUCAUGUGGUGCCGAGUCAAAUACAGCCGAUGAGAUUAUGGAUAUCAGUCUUGAAAUUUUGCAUAGUAUCUCUAUCAAGGAGUCUAUGCAAAAAAAAUUUCAAUCAGAGAUUUUAGAUGGCAACAAUAAGUAUAUAUGCGAGACCUGUGAUAAACUGGUGACGGCGAGGAAGCAGAUGUCGUCUAUACUCCAAAUGCCUAAUAUCCUUGUUAUCCAAUUGAAAACCAAAAGUCAUGGAAGCAACAAAUGGAACGCAAUUAGCAAGGAUUAGAAGUUCCAGUCUCUUUCUUCUGAUUGAAUUCCCAAGCUAACGUAGCCAUUGGAAGAGAAGAAAGGGAAUAUCAAUUAAGGAAAUCUGCUAUUGAAACAAAGUCGGGUAAAAUAUCAAAAUUGGAAGGAUCCAAGAGACUUAUUUCCGGGUCGAAAUAAAUGAUUUCCGGGUCAAAAUUUUGACCCGAUUGGGGACCCCAAAAACUGCUGCAAAAAUGUAUAGUAGAUAAA